rnacentral:rRNA from 1 species
AUGGCCACGGAGCUCUUCGCGCCGCACCGGCUCGACGCGCUCCACCACCUCCGGAGCGACAAGGUGAGGGAGCUCACGGACCACGUCGCACGGCUGGCGCGCGAGGGCACGGCGGUCUUCACGACGAGCCUGAACCUUAUCUCCCGCACCAUCUUCUCCAUCGACCUCGACGACCACGGCCGCUCCGAGGAUUUCCAGGAGGUGAUCACGGCCAUGAUGGAAGGCUUGGGCACCCCGAACGUGUCCGACUUCUUCCCGGUGCUCGCGCCGGCCGACCUGCAGGGCAUGCGCCGGCGCCUGGCGUGGAUCUUCGCGCGGCUGCACGCCGUGUUCGACGCCGAGGUGGACCAGAGGCUGCGCGGCCGCGACGCUGGCCAGCCCAGGAAGAACGACUACCUCGACGUGCUGCUCGACGUGGCGGCGCGUGACGAGGGAAAGGACCUGCUCGACCCUGAGACGCUACGCUCACAUUUCACGGUGACGCACAACUUUCUUCUUUGCGAUUGCAGCUGGUGUUUCAGUUUUCAACUCAUAUCUAGUAAAAGAUCAAAAUUAGUACACUCGAUGUAUUAUAUACCCUUUGAUUGA